UACAGAGGUCUCAACCGUUGUUCGGAUUCAUUGGGCGUAAAGGGUGCGUAGGCGGUCGUGUAAGUCAGAUGUGAAAUCUCAGGGCUCACCCUGAAACUGCAUUCGAUACUGCAUGGCUAGGGUACUGGAGAGGAGACUGGAAUUACGGUGUAGCAGUGAAAUGCGUAGAUAUCGUAAGGAAGACCAGUGGCGAAGGCGAGUCUCUGGACAGAUUG
rnacentral:rRNA from 1 species